rnacentral:rRNA from 1 species
GACAGAGGGUGCAAACGUUGUUCGGAAUUACUGGGCGUAAAGCGUGUGUAGGCGGUCCAUUAAGUCGGGUGUGAAAGCCCUGGGCUCAACCCAGGAAGUGCACUCGAAACUGGCGGGCUCGAAUCCGGGAGAGGGAUGCGGAAUUCCAGGUGUAGCGGUGAAAUGCGUAGAUAUCUGGAGGAACACCGGUGGCGAAGGCGGCAUCCUGGACCGGUAUUGACGCUGAGGCGCGAAAGCCAGGGGAGCAAACGGG